CCAGUCCCGGCCCUGCCCCGGGGUCCCGGCCCUGCCCCGGGGUCCCGGCCCCGGCCCCGCGCCACCUGCUGCCCUCGGCCCGCGCGUCCCCACGCCGGCAGCAGGGCUGCGCUGCAGAGGCGGCACCGCGGUGCGUGAGCCGCCCGCUGCAGCAUCCCCACCAGCGCCAGUGUCCCGUGUGGACGUGGGCAGAUUAACAAGUCUCUGUUAAUUAAAAUUGCUGAGCCUUCUGGACCAGACCUUCAAUCAAGGCCAUGGCAUCAAUGGAGCUGAGCACUUCUCCAAACACUGUCUCCAUAGGCAGAGUGCUGGACAUACAACAAGAAGCAACUUAAGCAUGAUGUUAUUUUUAGUUUAUUUCACUUGAAGUCAAAAUGCAGAUCUCGGCUUCUCAGAUGGAGAAAUUAAAUCUCUCUCUUGCUAUAGAAAAAAAAAAGUACCUUAUUUGGGAAAGGAAAGUUUAGAUGAAGUUGAGUAGUCGGACUGAUUAUGGAAAGAAUAAGAGUAUUCAGAAGUAGAUGAGCAAGGAGUUUGUCGCAGGGAGGGAGAAGCAAAGUCUUUUGUGUAUGGUGGUUUAUUGCAGGCUCUAACGGCAUCAGGAUGAUGUUACCAGGGAGCCUCUACACAGUGAAAUAAUUUACUGUCAUCUUUUAUAUCCUGCUAGCACAAUGAUGUAGUCUCCAUAGACCUACUCCGAAAACCACUUUGUUAGCCAAAUUUCAAUCUGUAGUGUUAUGUCAUGUAAGAUAUCAUAAUGCUGCAAAAAAGUAAUGAAAUAAUUGCCAGUUAUUCACAUAAAAUUAUUGUGAAUUGAUAAUAUCUUUCCCUUUCUUUCCUACAUGUCUCAAUGCUGGCAGCUCCCACAGACCUUAAUACUGCAUUGGGCAUGGCUCCUUCCCAGCUCCUCCGAAGCCAGGGAAAAGCUGCAGAGUUGGGCAGUGCCAAAAGCCUGGGUGCCAUCAUUCACUGCUCCCUGUGGCAGCCUGCGCUCCCAGUGGGCUCACUGGCCAAUGUGAGGAUAUGUCCCUCGUAUUUGUGAUACAUCACAAAUCUGGAUCUGAGGGAUGAUCUCACAGCGGGGCUGGGCAUCCCUCCCUCCCUCUAUCCCGCAACCCGGGAGCCACGUGCACUGUUGGGUAAGGUAACAACAAGCCAUCACAGAUAGCCAGAUUUGCACAGCUUGUUGGCCAGUUACAUUCAGAAGAGAAGGUAUAUAAAAAUGGAAUAACAGCUUUUCACCAAAAGAGAACACUUUCCUGUCUCUGUUCUGCUCACAUCUGGUCAUUUUUCUGCAAGAAAUACAUCUUUACAGCUCUUUUACAAGACAGAGCCAAUACAGCUGUAAGGGAGUAAGCUGCUCACUAUACCAGCCUUUUUAUUAUCAGCAGAAUUAUAAACUUAAGUGAAGCUGUGAAAUCUGUUUUACCGAAGAUGCAGGAACCUGAAAGAACUUUGACUUCCACAGCCCAGGAGGAGUUGGAAGAACUGCCACUUAUAUUUAGCCUUUGCUUGAAAAUUGAACAAAAUGGGCACGGAAUCAGUCACAGUAAACCAUAUUUAAGCCUCACUUUUCAGUGUAGAGUAGCACUUUAAGAAUAAUAAAAACGCUACGUCUUUCAUAAGGUAGCAUAAAGGUUCAAAGAAUUUACUGAUUUUUUUUUUCAAUGAAGAUGCAUUAAGCAAAUAUUGCCUUCUUCUCUAGGGCCAGACAAUUCUUGCAGUCUUUUCUUCAGAGGCCUUUGGCUAAUGUGUCAUUCAAAAGGUUAUUCACUUCCCUUCCUGUCUGUAUGUCAUAUAAAGAUGUGCAUUCAA